UCCCAGAUGGCUUAGUGGGUAAAGAACCUGCCUGCAAUGCAGGAGAUGCAAGUUCAAUCCCUGGGUUGGGAA
rnacentral:tRNA from 1 species